GACGAACGCUGGCGGCGUGCCUAAUACAUGCAAGUAGAACGAGUUGCGAACGGGUGAGUAACGCGUAGGUAACUGCCUCAUAGCGGGGGAGAACUAUUGGAAACGAUAGCUAAUACCGCAUACUGUGAGAUGUACCUGAGUUGUAGUAGCUAGUUGGUGAGGUAAAGGCCCACCAAGGCGACGAUCCAUAGCCGGCCUGAGAGGGUGAUCGGCCACACUGGGACUGAGACACGGCCCAGACUCCUACGGGAGGCAGCAGUGGGGAAUCUUCGGCAAUGGACGGAAGUCUGACCGAGCAACGCCGCGUGAGUGAAGACGGUUUUCGGGUUGUAAAGCUCUGUUGUUCGGGACGCGGUAACUAAACAGAAAGGCACGGCUAACUACGUGCCAGCAGCCGCGGUAAUAC
rnacentral:rRNA from 1 species